rnacentral:tRNA from 1 species
CCAGGGGUGCCCGAGUGGCUAAAGGGGACGGGCUGUAAACCCGUUGACGCAAGUCUACGUUGGUUCAAAUCCAACCCCCUGGA